GCCACCUUAGCUCAGCUGGUAGAGCUACUGUCUUGUAAACAGUAGGUCAUCGGUUCGAAUCCGAUAGGUGGCUCCA
rnacentral:tRNA from 1 species